rnacentral:rRNA from 1 species
UACGUAGGGGGCAAGCGUUGUCCGGAAUCAUUGGGCGUAAAGAGCGUGUAGGCGGCCCGAUAAGUCCGCUGUGAAAGUCCAGGGCUCAACCCUGGGAUGCCGGUGGAUACUGCUGGGCUAGAGUACGGAAGAGGCGAGUGGAAUUCCUGGUGUAGCGGUGAAAUGCGCAGAUAUCAGGAGGAACACCAAUUGCGAAGGCAGCUCGCUGGGACGUUACUGACGCUGAGACGCGAAAGCGUGGGGAGCGAACAGG